AGGGAAUCUUCCGCAAUGGGCGAAAGCCUGACGGAGCAACGCCGCGUGAGCGAGGAAGGUCUUCGGAUCGUAAAGCUCUGUUGCCAGGGAAGAAAAGGCGCUUGUUGACUGCAGGCGCAUUGACGGUACCUGAGACAGAAAGCCCCGGCUAACUACGUGCCAGCAGCCGCGGUAAUACGUAGGGGGCAAGCGUUGUCCGGAAUUAUUGGGCGUAAAGCGCGCGUAGGCGGCCCUUUAAGUCUCGUGUUUAAACCCGGAGCUCAACUUCGGGUCGCACGGGAAACUGGGGGGCUUGAGUGCAGGAGAGGGAAGCGGAAUUCCACGUGUAGCGGUGAAAUGCGUAGAGAUGUGGAGGAACACCAGUGGCGAAGGCGGCUUCCUGGUCUGUAACUGACGCUGAGGCGCGAAAGCGUGGGGAGCAAAC
rnacentral:rRNA from 1 species